AACGAACGCUGGCGGCAUGCCUAACACAUGCAAGUCGAACGAGACCUUCGGGUCUAGUGGCGCACGUGUGCGUAACGCGUGGGAACCUGCCCUUAGGUUCGGAAUAACUCCCCGAAAGGGGUGCUAAUACCGGAUAAUGUCUUCGGACCAAAGAUUUAUCGCCUUUGGAUGGGCCCGCGUUGGAUUAGCUAGUUGGUAGGGUAAAAGCCUACCAAGGCGACGAUCCAUAGCUGGUCUGAGAGGAUGAUCAGCCACACUGGGACUGAGACACGGCCCAGACUCCGACGGGAGGCAGCAGUGGGGAAUAUUGGGCAAGGGGCGAAAGCCUGAUCCAGCAAUGCCGCGUGAGUGAUGAAGGCCUUAGGGUUGUAAAGCUCUUUUACCCGGGAUGAUAAUGACAGUACCGGGAGAAUAAGCUCCGGCUAACUCCGUG
rnacentral:rRNA from 1 species